UACGAAGGGGGCUAGCGUUGCUCGGAUUGACUGGGCGUAAAGGGCGCGUAGGCGGUUCGUACAGUCAGACGUGAAAUUCCUGGGCUCAACCUGGGGGCUGCGUUUGAUACGUGCGGACUUGAGUGGCGGAAGAGGGUCGUGGAAUUCCCAGUGUAGAGGUGAAAUUCGUAGAUAUUGGGAAGAACACCGGUGGCGAAGGCGGCGACCUGGUCCGAUACUGACGCGAGGCGCGAAGCGUGGGUAGC
rnacentral:rRNA from 1 species